GACGAACGCUGGCGGCGUGCUUAACACAUGCAAGUCGAACGGAAAGGCCCUGCUUGCAGGGUACUCGAGUGGCGAACGGGUGAGUAACACGUGGGUGCUCUGCCCUGCACUUCGGGAUAAGCCUGGGAAACUGGGUCUAAUACCGGAUAGGAGCCAUUUUUAGUGUGAUGGUUGGAAAGUUUUUUCGGUGUAGGAUGAGCUCGCGGCCUAUCAGCUUGUUGGUGGGGUAAUGGCCUACCAAGGCGGCGACGGGUAGCCGGCCUGAGAGGGUGGACGGCCACACUGGGACUGAGAGACGGCACAGGCGCCGACGGGAGGCAGCAGUGGGGAAUAUUGCACAAGGGGCGCAAGCCUGAUGCAGCGAGGCCGCGUGGGGGAUGACGGCCUUCGGGUUGUAAACUCCUUUCGCUAGGGACGAAGCUUUUUGUGACGGUACCUAGAGAAGAAGCACCGGCUAACUACGUG
rnacentral:rRNA from 1 species